rnacentral:rRNA from 1 species
GACGAACGCUGGCGGCGUGCUUAACACAUGCAAGUCGAACGGUAAGGCCCUUCGGGGUACACGAGUGGCGAACAGGUGAGUAACACGUGGGUGAUCUGCCCUGCACUUCGGGAUAAGCCUGGGAAACUGGGUCUAAUACCGGAUAGGACCACUGCCUGCAUGGGUGGUGGUGGAAAGCUUUUGCGGUGUGGGAUGGGCCCGCGGCCUAUCAGCUUGUUGGUGGGGUGAUGGCCUACCAAGGCGACGACGGGUAGCCGGCCUGAGAGGGUGACCGGCCACACUGGGACUGAGAUACGGCCCAGACUCCUACGGGAGGCAGCAGUGGGGAAUAUUGCACAAUGGGCGCAAGCCUGAUGCAGCGACGCCGCGUGAGGGAUGACGGCCUUCGGGUUGUAAACCUCUUUCAGCACCGACGAAGCGCAAGUGACGGUAGGUGCAGAAGAAGGACCGGCCAACUACGUGCCAGCCGCCGCCGUAA